rnacentral:rRNA from 1 species
AUAUCAGUCAUGCAUAGCAUAUCAAUAAGCGGAGGAAAAGAAACUAACAAGGAUUCCCCUAGUAACGGCGAGUGAAGCGGGAAGAGCUCAAAUUUGAAAUCUUAAAGGGUUUCCCUUUACGAAUUGUAGUUUAAAGAAGUGUUUUCUGUUGAGGUCUUGGUAAAAGUUCUUCGGAAUAGGACAUCAUAGAGGGUGAGAAUCCCGUAUUUGACCUUUACUUUCAACUUUGUGAUACACUUUCAAAGAGUCGGAUUGUUUGGGAAUGCAGUCCAAAAUGGGUGGUAAAUUUCAUCUAAAGCUAAAUAUUGGCGAGAGACCGAUAGCGAACAAGUACCGUGAGGGAAAGAUGAAAAGAACUUUGAAAAGAGAGUUAAACAGUACGUGAAAUUGUCAAAAGGGAAGCGUUUGACACCAGUGUUGUUUUUCUGAAAAUCAAUUAAAGAACUGUUUAUGCUAAGUUGUUUAGACUUUAUCAGCUAUCUGCUUAGUUUUGAGCUUUUCUUUAAUGCACUUUUCAGUUAACAAGUCAACAUCAAUUUCUUUUGCUGUAAAAAAGCUUGAGGAAGGUGGCUUGAGAUUCGUCUUAAGUGUUUAUAGCCUCUUGCCUAUGCAGUCGGAGAGAUUGAGGUCUGCAGCGUAGAUCCUUCGGGGCUAAAUGCAUUUGUGCUAAGUUAUAGCAUUUUAUAGACAACUUGUUGACUAUGAUUUGUCUUGUAGCUUACUCGCUUAUGUUAUUUUACCUACGCUUAGGAUGUUGACGCGCGUGUGUGCGUG